GCUGUUUUAUAUAUCUGAAACAUAUUUACCUAUUACAAACAAAUGAUAUUAAGUCAGGAUACCGAUAAGUGGGACUAAAAGCAACUUACAGGUUCACAGAUUUUGCCGCCUCGCAGUUUAUGGCAUUGUAGAGAACCGCAUAGCCUUUUCUCCUGAACAACGCCAAUUUAUGCAAAUCCUCUUGAAUGGCUUAUGCUUCAUGAAUUUAUAUCGAAUAGCGGGUUGCGGCUUUAAGAGCCAAACAAUAAAAGCUCAUUUGUUGCUAUUAUCGUUUGGACCAACAACAAAUAACAAAUCAUCGAGCCAGCGGGGCGAUGGAGCACUAAGCACAAAACACCCACCUGUUUCUAUAAGAGGGAUCGGAAUGGGCCUGAGGGGGCAAGUGGGUUGGGCUGGGGGGUGUGGCUUAUAGCCGAAUCGUGCACAGCGCUCACCUCGGACAGAAGCUGUGCGCUGAUGCCGCACAAACUGCUGCCAAUAAAUUGUGUUAAUAAACCAAAAGUUGUUAAUUUAAA